rnacentral:lncRNA from 1 species
GGAGGAAGAAGGCACUGAGCCAAGGAUGGAACUUGCCGAGUUUCUACUAGGCUUUCGAGACGAUACGAACUUUUACUACUGUGCGUCGUACUCUGCGCGGGCGUUACCCUGUUGUUGUCGUCGUCAUCAUCGUCGUCGUCGCCGUCGUCCUUCUUCUUCUUCUUCUUCUUCUCGCGUCGAGGAUAUUAUUCAUCUCAGCGCCACGAGUGGCAGGCUAUCCUCCGAACGGAGAAGUAUAUAACACGAUUCGCAAAUAAAUCGUCAAUGUGGUACGAUCUUCUCUACCUCUCUCUUUCUCACACCUUGAUAUGAGCUCAUCGAAAUUUUAUUCAAAACCGAAGGUAUCCGGAAGCAGUAUGCCUUCUUUAGCUGUGAACAAACCGCGCGUGUGAGUGCAAGAAUAAGGAAUACAUUCUACAUUCUCUCGGUCGGUAGAAUCGAUCGAUUCGCAGUAUAGAAACGCAUACCUAUAUAGAAUAUAUACCUAAAACUAUGUAUAUAACUCGGUAGAUACAUUAACAUUCGAUAAAGAGAUAAGACGAGCCAAGAGAGUUUAAAUCACAGAUGCAUGAUUGAUGAUGAUGAUGAUGAUGAUGAUGACGAUGACGACAAUGAUGGUGCAGGAAUUUUGAUUAUUGAUAUAGGUGUCGUGAGAUAUGAAACCCCACGUUUAAAAAGAAUGGAUGUAUUUAUCUGGUAAAUACAUAAAAAAGGAACGUGGAUGGUGGAACAAGGUGAUCGUCAUUUCGUUCGAAAUAUUUCAUCGUUGAUCGUUAGACGAAAUGAUCAGAGACAAGAGAAGGAGGGAGUAAGCGUUUGGAUUUGACAUGUUGUUUAUUCUUCUAAUAUCAAAAGAAUUCUUCUAAGCAAAGGAA